ACUCCUACGGGAGGCAGCAGUGGGGAAUAUUGCACAAUGGGCGCAAGCCUGAUGCAGCCAUGCCGCGUGUAUGAAGAAGGCCUUCGGGUUGUAAAGUACUUUCAGCAGUGAGGAAGGUGGAUAUGUUAAUAGCAUAUUCAUUUGACGUUAGCUGCAGAAGAAGCACCGGCUAACUCCGUGCCAGCAGCCGCGGUAAUACGGAGGGUGCGAGCGUUAAUCGGAAUUACUGGGCGUAAAGCGCAUGCAGGUGGUUUGUUAAGUCAGAUGUGAAAGCCCGGGGCUCAACCUCGGAAUUGCAUUUGAAACUGGGCAAACUAGAGUACUGUAGAGGGGGGUAGAAUUUCAGGUGUAGCGGUGAAAUGCGUAGAGAUCUGAAGGAAUACCGGUGGCGAAGGCGGCCCCCUGGACAGAUACUGACACUCAGAUGCGAAAGCGUGGGGAGCAAACAGGAUUAGAUACCCUGGUAGGCUCU
rnacentral:rRNA from 1 species